CAGCCUCAGAUACGGUUGCUGAAAGCCGGAUCCUUAGAGCUCGAGGUCCUGAGGUUCCUAUACAAUCGAUCAAGGGUCCCAGCGGAGUCCAUUGAUCGAACCAGAAGCUUGCAGAGCGGCCAUUAUUGAUAGUACAAGUGAUGAAGGGCCGGGCCAGAGUUCUGAGCUUAAGGAGCGAUUUCCAGUGCCAAGAAUCUUGAGCAUGAUCAGAGAGAGCCCAAAAAUUAU
rnacentral:lncRNA from 1 species